rnacentral:rRNA from 1 species
CAGCCGCCGCGGUAAUACAGAGGGUGCAAGCGUUAAUCGGAAUUACUGGGCGUAAAGCGCGCGUAGGUGGUUUGUUAAGUUGGAUGUGAAAGCCCCGGGCUCAACCUGGGAACUGCAUCCAAAACUGGCAAGCUAGAGUACGGUAGAGGGUGGUGGAAUUUCCUGUGUAGCGAUGAAAUGCGUAGAUAUAGGAAGGAACACCAGUGGCGAAGGCGACCACCUGGACUGAUACUGACACUGAGGUGCGAAAGCGUGGGGAGCAAACAGGAUUAGAGACCCGCGUAGUCCCUGUCUCUUAUAC